ACAAGGCUUCCCGGCUGUCGCGCGCAACCGCAUCGAAAGCGCUCGAUCGAGCCAGCCCGCGCAGCGCGUCCUCCUCGAGCGCCACACGUCGAUAAAAAUUCUCGACGCUCGUGAACGGACCGCCGGUCAGCCGCUCCCAUACAAUCCUGCGGGCAUCAUCCUCCGACAAUUCCUUCACCGACGUCAGGGGCUUGCGGAUGCGGAAAGCGGAACCGGAUCGCGCCCCCGGUUCGCGCUCCCUCGGCUCGAUGUCGUACCGCACGCCCGAUCGGUUCACAUCCGGCGAAUGCGUCGUCACCCCGAAGCGGCGUGCCUCCUCCUGCAGCGUCAUCAAGUUGUACAUCCCCGGACGGUGCUGCAUAACCGCCGCCAUGAACGCUG
rnacentral:misc_RNA from 1 species